rnacentral:lncRNA from 1 species
UCCAAUUGACUGGGAGCAUAAUCAUCUUCAUCAGCUCUCCGAUGAGGCGAUAGUCUCAGAGCGUCAUCUUGAUGCACAUUUCGAGCGUGACGUACCCCUUUUUAGGAGACUUUGAGGGGACAUACUCCAUAAUAAAGGUGGGGGGCAUCGGUGCCUUUCUUCGGCUGGUGCUCGUGAUGGCUGAAGAAGUCCGACGCAAAGCAACCCAUAUGAUAUCCGAUCUACUUUGCAUUGGCAAGGCCUAUACCAUAGCAGCAAGCUUAGUUGGUGCCUCGCCGACAAUGACGACAUCGUCGUCUUCCUCGAUGG